UACGUAGGGUGCGAGCGUUAAUCGGAAUUACUGGGCGUAAAGCGUGCGCAGGCGGUGAUGUAAGACAGGUGUGAAAUCCCCGGGCUUAACCUGGGAACUGGAUUUGUGACUGCAUCGCUGGAGUGCGGCAGAGGGGGAUGGAAUUCCGCGUGUAGCAGUGAAAUGCGUAGAUAUGCGGAGGAACACCGAUGGCGAAGGCAAUCCCCUGGGCCUGCACUGACGCUCAUGCACGAAAGCGUGGGGAGCAAACAGG
rnacentral:rRNA from 1 species